GCGAGCGUAGUUCAACGGUAGAACAGUACUCCUAUGAAUUGCUAACUAGAUACUUUCAGACGUAGGUUCGACUCCUGCCGCUCGCU
rfam:Lactobacillus plantarum WCFS1 complete genome